rnacentral:lncRNA from 1 species
AUGGUUCGGGAAGCUCCGGAACUCCUUCGGAACUGCUUCGGGAGUUUCCGGAAGGGCUUCGGGAACCUCCGGAGUCACUUGGCAACUUCCGGAACCGCCUCGGGGAUCUCCGGAACCGUUUCGGAACCGUUUCGGGGCUUUGCGGAACGGUCUCAGGGAUGUCCGGAGCCGCUCGAAACCUUCCGGAGAUCUCCGGAAAGGGGAAGGUGGUUCGGGACUCUCCGGAACCGCUUCAGAACCGCCGGGCAGUCUCCGGGGCCGCUUCGUGGGUCUCUGGAAUCGCUUCGAGAACCUCCGGGCGGCUUCGGAAUCUCUCGGCAAGCUCCGGAGUCGCCUGGCAACUUGCGGAACUGCUUCGGAACCGUUUCCCGGGGCUGCGGAACGGCCUCGAGGUUCGCAGGCGCCGCUUUGGAACCGUUUCCGGAGUUUCCGGAAUCGCUUCGGGGAUCUCCGGAAGGGAGGGAGGCGCGGGGGCGUGGGGGGACUCGGGGGUCUCCGGAAGGGGCGGUUCGGGGCCCCUCGGGACUUUCUGUAAGGACUCGGGCGGGCCCGGGAGCGCUUCGGGUUCUUUCGGUAAGAGAUCGACUCGUUUCAGCACUUCGGCCCCGCUUCGGUUCUUUCCGGAACGCUUCGGGUUGUUCCGGAAGAGGGGGCGGAGCGAAGCGCUUGAAACGCCCCAAUCUCGGUCCCUCGGCUCUUUCCGGAACACUUCGGCUCUUUCCGGUUCCCACCAGCCAAUCCUGCCCGGGGCCCUUUCUCCCACCGGGUGCCGCCAUGUCCCUCAUGGGCGCCGCCAUCUUUACUGGGCCCGAGGCGCGUACCGGGACCGGUUUCCCCUCCAGCCCCUCCCGCGGGGCCUCACCGGGCCCGGUCCCUUCCCUCUCAGUUCGGGCACGCCCAGCUCCGCCCCACCAGCUCCCAGUUCCGCUCAGGGGCCAUGGAUGGCAGCGGUGGGGCAGCAGAAGGGAAAAUGGGGGGCAGGGGGUGGAUGCGGCCCUUAAACGAGGGAGGGUCCCGGAGAUCCAGGUCAAAUCCAGCCCGAAGCGAAGGAGAGGAAAUCCCAGAUCAAAUCCAAGCACUGAAACAAGGGAGGAUCCAGGAGGCCGAGGUGUGGCUUUAUUUUUCCAAGUGACCCUGCAGUAA